UGGAACCUCUCGGGGUUACAGCCUUGCUGAAUUAUUCACCCUUGUCUUUUGCGUACUUCUUGUUUCCUUGGUGGGUUCGCCCACCACUAGGACAAACAUAAACCUUUUGUAAUUGCAAUCAGCGUCAGUAACAAAUUAAUAAUUACAACUUUCAACAACGGAUCUCUUGGUUCUGGCAUCGAUGAAGAACGCAGCGAAAUGCGAUAAGUAGUGUGAAUUGCAGAAUUCAGUGAAUCAUCGAAUCUUUGAACGCACAUUGCGCCCUUUGGUAUUCCAAAGGGCAUGCCUGUUCGAGCGUCAUUUGUACCCUCAAGCUUUGCUUGGUGUUGGGCGUCUUGUCUCUAGCUUUGCUGGAGACUCGCCUUAAAGUAAUUGGCAGCCGGCCUACUGGUUUCGGAGCGCAGCACAAGUCGCACUCUCUAUCAGCAAAGGUCUAGCAUCCAUUAAGCCUUUUUUUCAACUUUUGACCUCGGAUCAGGUAGGGAUACCCGCUGAACUUAAGCAUAUCAAUAAGCGGAGGAA
rnacentral:rRNA from 1 species